rnacentral:rRNA from 1 species
GACGAACGCUGGCGGCGUGCUUAACACAUGCAAGUCGAACGGUGAAGCCCUUCGGGGUGGAUCAGUGGCGAACGGGUGAGUAACACGUGAGCAACCUGCCCCUGACUCUGGGAUAACUCCGGGAAACCGGAGCUAAUACCGGAUAUGACUCUCUUCUGCAUGGUGGAGGGUGGAAAGUUUUUCGGUUGGGGAUGGGCUCGCGGCCUAUCAGCUUGUUGGUGGGGUAAUGGCCUACCAAGGCGACGACGGGUAGCCGGCCUGAGAGGGCGACCGGCCACACUGGGACUGAGACACGGCCCAGACUCCUACGGGAGGCAGCAGUGGGGAAUAUUGCGCAAUGGGCGAAAGCCUGACGCAGCGACGCCGCGUGAGGGAUGAAGGCCUUCGGGUUGUAAACCUCUUUCAGCAGGGAAGAAGCGAAAGUGACGGUACCUGCAGAAGAAGCACCGGCUAACUACGUGCCAGCCGCCGCCGUAACAC